ACGGAGGUAAAGAAAGUGAGGCAAAUGGAGUUUGUUGCCUUCACUGAAACUCGCCUCCAAAAUCAACUAGCAGAGAGAAUAUCCUUGGUUUGGAGUGAAAAACCUUGGAUAGCUGCAUUUGCUUACAAAA
ensembl:scaRNA